AUGCUUUUGAGCAACAACAUUAAACUCCGGGCGUCCUGUGACAUGAGGCUCGUCGACCAGUACACUGGAUUCCCAUUUUCAGUGCAUAAAACAGAAAUUAGAACUUUCAGUCCCGGUGACUUCACUAUGUUUGCUCCUGAGACUCCUUAUUUCAUGAGGCGAAGCGAGUUUGAGGGAUCUCCGUACCUUAGGGAUGAUCGCUUGACGAUCGAAUGCAUCGUCACUGUUUUCAAGAUGCCACAUGUUACUGAAACCAAAUCAUUCCCCAAAAUCGACAUGCCACAACCUGACAUGACUGAGAAUGUCAGCAAGCUACUUGAAGAAAUGACGGGAUUUGAUGUGAGUUUCAUUGUCGGAGGAGAGACCAUUGAAGCACAUAGGUUUGUUCUUGCUAUGAGGUCGCCUGUUUUCAAAGCAGAGCUCUAUGGGUCGAUGCAGGAGGCGAGGCUGGGGGAGUGCAUAACCAUCAAGGACAUGCAACCUGCCGUUUUCAAGGCCCUGCUCCAUUUCAUCUAUACUGACUCUUUGCCUAGCGGCGAGGAUACAGAGAUGAUCCGGCUUUUACUAGUGGCCGAGGAUAGAUAUGCAAUGGAUAGGCUCAAGCUGGUUUGCCAAAGCAUCCUUUGCGAGGAUUUGAAUGUGGACACCAUCACAACCACAUUGGCUUUUGCUGACCGACAUAACUGCCACCAGCUUAAGGAUGCUUGCCUUGAAUUUAUCAAAUUAUCAAAUUUCAUGGAUGAUGUGGUGGGAACCCAACGCUUAAAGGAUCUCAAGGCGACUUGCCCAUCUUUCGUUGUGGAUGAACAGGGAAAGAGAAGGAAGUUUUCAUGA
rnacentral:rRNA from 1 species